rnacentral:tRNA from 1 species
GGACGGCUAGCUCAGCUGGUUAGAGCACCUCGUUUACACCGAGGGGGUCAAAGGUUCGAAUCCUUUGCCGUCUA